AAAGAAUCCAGUCGGGUUUAGUGUUGUGAAAAAUUUAAAGUGAUAUUCAACGUCCUGCGUCCCCUUCCGCCAACUGUGGCGCAUUUACUUAUAUAAUAACAGACUGAUCCCAUAGCCUACUAUUGAGGAGUUGCCUCCGUACAAUGAAAAACUACUGAACUGCCACUCGUGGCCUCUCCAUGCACUGCUGUGAAAGAGGGGCCCAUUUUUAAGUGAAAAGGAUUGUAGGAAUUGGUUUAGAACUGGACCCCUGCAAAGCACUGUAUCCCCCGUCAUAGCCUGGCUCCCUUCUCUUCGCUUCUUAACCUGUAAAGCUAGCGGUCCAUGUCUGAUCUAUGGAGCUCCUCUACUUGAGCCAACAUGCCAUGAUGGAUGGUCAUUGGCCUGCACAUGCAGCUCAAUAUUUCAAUUUCCUGCCUAGGCGGAGGCAUUUCAAAGUUUGAAUAGAGUUCAUAGGCACAGUGUGGUGCCUGCCGCUGCCCCCAACACCCGCCGUGAAGACCCCAGACCCAAACACAGCAAUGAGCACAUUCCGAAGACUCCGUCUCUGUCAACCUGGCUCUCAACGGCAAUGAAGAGGGCUAUUAUACUACACCUAUAACUGUUCAUAGAAAUCUAUACUUAAAAGUUUAUACACACCUAUUCAUUCUUUUUAUUGUCCACAUUUACUGUGAAAUAUGAUGCAAGAAAUGUAAACACGUUAAACUAUAUUUUUAGGUAGCCAUUAAAUUACAGCUCCAGACACUCUGGGCAUUUUCUCAA